CCAUUUUGAAGACGGUGUUUUCUCCCCCUUGGGUACGUUUUCCAAGAGCUCUCCCAUCAGAAAAAUCCCUUGUGAAGAGGACGUGGGUGUCCCAUCUCAUUAAAGUGACAAGAGCUUGUGUUGGGUUUUCUUCUCACUGGGACCCAGGCCAGGUGCAUGACUUGACCUUAGAGAGAGCCAAGCUUUUGGAACAGGCCUGUAUGAGAAAUGGCAGAUGCCAAGGUCUGAAGUCCCUCCUCCUUCUCGAACACCCUCUAGAACCAUAGAAUCUCAGAACUGGAAGGUGCCCUUCAGGCCCCUGGCUACAUAGACAAAGGCUCUGAGCGCUGGAGGGGAAGCAAGUGUACCAGUUAUUGGUACAGCCAGGACCAAACCUGGGUGUCCUGGGAGUCUUAGUUCAGGGUUCCCACCACCACCAGCCUCCAGCUGCCUCCAAUAACCAUCAAACAGCAGCCAAGAAAUCAGUGAAAUUCCCACACUCGUGCUGGGAUGGCUCAGAUGAUGCGAAUGCUCGGUGAGGCCAGGCGUGGUGGCUGCAGGAUCUGAGAGAACAUAGGGUGCACCCAGGUACCAUCCACUUCGCAGUCACUGCUGGACCAGAGCUUGCCUCUUGGGAUGCUCCAGAGCUGGAAGGAGACCUUGGAGCUCAUGCGGCUUCCUGCAUGGGUUUCCAUAGAGAAUGUGACACACGACUGUGAAGACCAUUUUGUUUUCUAGAGCUCUGUUUCCUCUUACUCCAUCCCCAUUCAGUCUGUGAAAAUUGCCCAAUGGAAACCCCACAUUCUGCUCUUAUCAGUGGCCGUUAGAACUCCAGGUGAGGUGACAAGAAUCAAGCACAGGUGCUUGGGUUUCGAACUCUCAGAAAGAGUCUUCGCCCUGGGCACAUUUCAGAGAGCAGAUGCCUCACUUGUGAACAUCUUGCACAUCGAAACUGCUGACAAAAAUGUUUUUUGCUUCUGCACUUUUUGUUAUAAGCAUAUAGUGAACCACCUAUAUUUAGCAUAAAUGGGCGUUUGUGAGUGGUCUUGGGAAUCUAAAUAUAAUGUAUUUCGUUUCUAAAUUACAAACAACCAACUUACAAGGGGAAUUUUGGUCUUUAGCCUAUUUAUGAAAUCAGGCACUUUCUGAACUAAAAAAGAGGAGGAAAGGAAUGAGCAUUUAUUGAAUGUUCAUUAUAUACUACCCACUUUACAGAAGGAUUCCAUCUAAUCCAGUAGCCCAAGGAGAAAGGCCUCUCCCUCAUUUCACAGGUGAGGAAAUGGAAGCUCGGACAUAAUGAGUGGCAGAAUCAGGAUUCGGACCAAGUUCCAGCUCCAAAUCUGACUGUUUCCAUGGUUCCUCUAGUUGGCUGGCAUCCUCCCCACACUGAGCAUCCUGGGGCCAGACUGAAAGUGGGCCAUCUCCCUCCCAAGCACUCCCCUAGCAAGGAGGAAUCCUGCGGCCGGGACGCCCAGCACAGUGCAACGCUGAAUGUCAGCUGUAUGUGUUUAGCGAGGCUGCUAAGACACUCAACACGAAGGGGACCACCUCGGGCCAGUGACCAAGAGUCUGUCCUUGACCAAACUCUAGCCAGGCUCCUCUGAGCCCUCUUCUCAACUAGUGCUCAACCUUGUCCCAUAAAGACUUAAACAAAACACUAACAUAGUUUUUAACAGCUCAAGACCGUAUCCCUAGGAUGACCCUAAACCCCACUUAAGGUAUUGCCUGAGAAAACUCAAGGCUGCCGAAAGAACUGACUGUUCCAGCAACACUUGAAGACAGGGCCCCUGUCUCCCUGCCAGUGUGGGAGGGUAGGAGCCUAAGUGCCAGCUAGCAAACCCAGAUGGGUUUCCCAUGGACCAACCCCUGCCCCCAUAGUUUGUAAUUUUUCACUUCCCUGACUGUACGGAGCCCCUGGUCACCCCCCUCCCCAUUCCUUCUUUCUUCCUUUAAAACACUCAGGUGCUUCUGUGCAAAUCAAAGUUGAGUUCAGUUCACACUGGGCUCUUUUCCCUAUUACAAUGGUAUGUUACUGAUUAAAAU
ensembl:lncRNA